CUAAUAUUAAAUGUGCUCAGGUUUAUCCCUUUUCCGUUUCUGGAGGCAUCUCUCAUUGUACUGAGCACCAGGUUUAAAGGUAUGGAUAAGCACCACCCACGAUGAAAGCAUCAAUGAAGAUACUGCUUUGGAGGGAUUUAGAUUGUAGAGAAGAAAAGAGGUUUUGAGAGCUCAUUACUGGAUCAUUGAACUGAUGUGCUGUGACCAGGUCAAGAAGCAGAUACAUCAGUGUUUAGAGGAGAGUCCACUGGUCAGGCCUGUAUUGGGUACAAAUCACCAGCAAGACUUAGCCACAGUCUGGAAUCCAGCAGCGGGAGGAGAAAAUGACAGACUCUGGGCAAGACUCAGCCAGCAAGGAAAAGGAAGUCAUGGGAGUCUCCAGGAUGUUGUGCUCAGCCUGGCCCAGUUUUGCCCACCUCCCUUUGACUAAAAAGGAGAAAGAACACUGCCAAUUUGGAUCCAUAUUGUGACCUACAUGAACAUGCUUUACUUUGAAGCCAGUUUCAUUGGCACCUAAGUCAUUAGCUGUGAUGAUUGGCUUCUAAAUUAAAGGCAGCUCUCUCAGUGGUAGAACUUCCUAAGGUUGUGGCCACUUCAGUGACAGACCCAUCCCUUGUGUCAUCCCCUGAAUCCAUGUGGUAAAGGAGACAGAAAGAGGUUGUUCUCAAAAUGUUGAGUUGAGUCCAACUCCAAAUGAGGCAUUAUUUCCCAUAUAGCUCUCCUUGUACUCUUAGGUGGAAAAUCCCAAACGAGGAGGUGUUUAUUUCGGUGUCCAGAUCACACCUUCCCACAGAGUGGGAAUCAAGUAGUGUUUUACAGCAGUUGUGAAGCCCUGAGCUCCCACCUGGAAUCAUACCCUAGCAGUGAGCUGUGGGGUCUAAAGCAAGUUCCCUUAAUCUCGUCUUGGCUUUUCCAUCUAUACCUGUGGGUCUCACAGGGUUGUGAGAACUACAUGAAAUAUCAUAUAUCUGGUAAACCCUAUUGAUGCUUACAUAGUGCCCAUUGUCCCCAUCCUAUUUGCCUCUAAAACCCAAUUUUUCUUUCUUUUUAAAAAAAUAUAAUUUAUUGUCAAAUUGAUUUCCACACAACACCCAGUGCUCAUCCCAACAAGUGCCCUCCUCAAUGCUCAUUACCCACUUUCUCCCUCCCCUACCCCAUUAACUUUCAAUCUGUUCUCAGUAUUUGAGAGUCUGUUUUGUAGAACCCAAAUUUUCUUAAGUAUUAAUCCCUCUUUCAUAUGUUGUGGGGUAAAUCCUGAGUACACCAAUUGUGGUAGCAGUCUUUGCCAGUGAUUGGUUUAAGAUGGGUUAUGUAACCCAAUGUUAGCUAAUAAGAUAUGAAGAAUAGUCUUCUAGAGGGAUAAUGCAAAAGAUGCUUUCUGCUAGAUGAUGUCAUUUUUGUAACUGCAACUGUCUUGUACCAGGGACAGAGCUGGUUUGGCAACAAUGCUAACACAUCGGGGAUGUCAAAGAAAUAAUAUGAGAAGAAUUUGGGUCUUUGAUGACAUCAAUGAGAGUUAAAUGAAUCAAUGCUGAAGCUACUUUACCUUGGGACUUUUUGUUAUGUAAGAUAGUAUUUUUCCUCCACCAUUCAAGCAAUUUUGAGUUGAGUUUUCUAAUACCUGCAGUCAAAGGCAUGCUAACUGAUGCAGUAUGUAAAUUGAUGCAAUAUGUGUGAUCUGUGAAAUUUUGUAGUAGGAGUUUCAGGGGGAAGAUACUGAGAAUGUGGAGACUAAUUUGGAUUAUAUGGAAUAUUAAUUUCCUUUUGCUCUUAUAACAAAUUAUUAUAAAUUUAGUAGUUUAAAGUUUAUUUAUUUAUUUAGAGAGUGAGAGAGAGAAUGAGACAGAGAAAAAGAGCAUGAGCAGGAGAGGGGCAGAGAGACAGGCUCCACUGUCAGCCUGUUGUCUGUGUCCCAUGUGGCGCUCUAACUCACUAACUGCAAGAUCAUGACUGGAGCUGAAAUCAAGAGUCAAAUGCUUAACCAACUGAACCACCCAGGUGCCCCAUAAAUUUAGUGGUUUAAAACAACACAAACUUAUCAUCUUAUAGUUCUGAAGUCUAUAUUAUCUUAUAGUUCUAGAAAAUGGUUCUGAAGUCUUGAAUGGCUUGCCUUGGACUAAAAUCAAGGUGUUAAUAGGGCUGUGCUCCUUCUGGGGGCUCUGGGGGAGAACAUCUUUCCUUGUCUAGCUUCUAGAGGGCAGCUUCAUUUCUUGGUUUGGGGUCUCUGUUUCCAUCUUCAAAGCUGGCACUGUAGCAUCUUCAAACCUUUGUCUGCUUCUGUUGUCACAUAGGGAGUUAGGCAUAGAGUUGGAGCGUAGUAAGAAACCUUUCAGUCCUAUGGGGGAACAGGGUCGCUUGGAGUUCAGUGUUCUAUCUGUCAUUCAGCUUGCCUUCUGCCCCCAAUCCCUUUCUACUGUGUUUUGGAAGAAACACUUGCAAUUAUGAUCCAUUGAAAACUUUGGAAGACCCCAGGAGCACGUAGGAGAGCUGCUUCGGGGGCCUUGGUAUUAGGCCCGUGGCCUAUAGUGGACACAUCUUACUGUGGCAGACGCGCAGGGUCAUGUUGCCAUGUGGAAAGCACCAUUGAUUUAGCAUCAUCAGCAGAAUCUAAAACAGCUUUGGCCCAACAGGGUGGCUUUAGGGCACUGUAGUAUUGGCUGAAUGACUUUGAGGACCUCAGUGGGACUAUAACACCAGAUGCAGCCACAUGACACUGUUAGGGUCUCUCUACCCCUGGAGGUCUUGGUAGUAGUCAUUACCACAGGGUCACUGAGAGGGCUGAGCACCUGAGCACACACAAGACAGCCCCCCUCGCUCCUGAAAACAAUGGGAGAGAAUCUGAGGUGAGCUGGAGGGGCCACAAUAGUCUGAAGGAAAAAAAAUCAGAGAAAUCAACUUCAUUGUUAAUGUGAUCUCAUUUUUACUGUUUAGACCAGGCUUUAGGAAACACAAGUCAUGCCUAAAAAAGAUGUAUAUGCUAAAUAUAGAUAAUAUUUACUCACAAAUAACAAUGUAAGUAUAUUAUAUAUACAUAUAUAUUAACAUCAAUAUGGGCACACAAGCAAUAUUAAUAUAAUAAACAUAUAUGCCUCUAUAUACAUAUGCCUACACAUGUAUGCUACACAUAUACAUAAACAAAAGUCAACUAAUGAAUGGAAUUUUUACUAUUAAAAAGAUGAUUGGUUCAUAUGAAGAAAAAUGUGAAAACAUUAAAGGUCACUAAAAAGCAGCCAAGGGGCCAACUUAAUUUGAAUGUAAUCUGUUAUCAGGCUAACACAAUGUCCACUGGGCUUGUGAAAGUGUGGUAAACGCAUUAAAAACACUCUAAGACAGUCAGGGUUGUAAUGUGUUAUAUGGGUUUUUGUUUUGUUUUGUUUUGUUUUUUUUGAGCAGGAAGGGAUGGAGGAAAAAUAGUGAAAACUACCUUGGAUACAAGAAUUAAUUUUGUUUAUUCACAGUUAAAGCUAAUAUUCUUAUUUAAAAAAAGGUUUAUUCAUUUAUUCUGAGAGAGAGAGGGAGGGAGAGCCAGAGAGAGGGAGAGACAAUCCCAAGCAGACUCUGUACUGUCAGUGCAGAACCCAAUGUGGGGCUCGAUCUCACGACCUAUGCUGCAAUCAAGAGUCGGAAGCUUAACUGACUGAGCCACCCAGUUGCCUCUAAAGCUAACAUUCUUGAUGUUUCUAAUUGUUUUUUUGAAUCUGAAGAGAGAUAAAGAAAUGAUUAUUUGUAGAGAAGGUGUUUCCUGACAGUAUUAUCUGGUUUUCUUAUGAAGAAACAAAAUUUAAUAGGACCUUUAAUGUCAAUAUUUGCAGGAUACCAAGAAUGGUAUU
ensembl:lncRNA